rnacentral:lncRNA from 1 species
AAUGGAGAGCUUCUCACUUUAUCUCUAGACAAAUCCUCUGGCUCUGGCUUCCAAUCCAAAAACGAGUACUUGUUUGGUAAAAUCGACAUGCAAAUGAAACUCGUCCCUGGAAACUCAGCAGGAACUGUCACAACACUCUACGUAAGUUACAUAACAAACAAUCUUCACGUUAUUUUGUUCCAUUUUAAAGUUCUUGUUUCUAAUAUUAGUUUUUAUUGCAGUUGAAAUCACCUGGAACAACAUGGGACGAGAUUGAUUUCGAGUUUCUUGGGAAUCUAAGUGGAGAUCCUUACACACUUCACACGAAUGUCUACACACAAGGCAAAGGCGACAAAGAACAGCAG